AACGAACGCUGGCGGCAUGCCUAACACAUGCAAGUCGAACGAGACCUUCGGGUCUAGUGGCGCACGGGUGCGUAACGCGUGGGAACCUGCCCGUAGGUUCGGAGUAACUCAGAGAGAUUUGAGCUAAUACCGGAUGAUGUCUUCGGACCAAAGAUCUAUCGCCUUUGGAUGGGCCCGCGUUGGAUUAGCUGGUUGGUGGGGUAAAGGCCUACCAAGGCGACGAUCCAUAGCUGGUCUGAGAGGAUGAUCAUCCACACUGGAACUGCGACACGGCCCAGAAUGGGACGGAGGGCAGCAGUGGGGAAUAUUAGAGGAGGAGCGAAGACGUGGUCAAGCAAUGCGGGGUGAGUGGUGAAGGGCGUAGGGUUGUAAAUCUCCUUUACCCGAGAUGUUAAUGACAGUAUCGGGUGAAUAAGCUCCGGCUAACUCCGUG
rnacentral:rRNA from 1 species